rnacentral:lncRNA from 1 species
CUUCAACCUGGCACGAGGGAUGCUGCCAGCGUGCGUGUCCCUACGGAAGCUGAGACUGCACUUCCUGCGAGGCCCCUGCAGCAGCAGCGGCGUGGUCAGAGCGAGCUUCGGAGAAGCAGUGGUGGGUUCCAUGUGAUGGUGGAGUAGGAGGCAGGUCUCCGCGGUUCAUCUGUGUUGCUCUAAAUGACACUGCUUCAUUAUUUUGAUGGCUGGAGAAUAUUUCCUAGUGUAUGUAUAUGAGAGUUUCUUGAUCUCUUUAUCUGUGGAUGAACAGCUACUUUGAAACAUAUGGUACAUUUGUGUUAAGGCUAGUCACCCUGCUGUGGAAUAGAAGGCCAGAAUUGAUCAGUCUCAUCUGAGAGUAACUUUGUACCCAUCACUGAUUCCUUCUGAGACUGCCUCCACUUCCCCAGCAGCCUCUGGUUUCUUCAUGUGGCUGCAGAUGGCAGGAUUUCCCAAAGGUUUCUGGCUGAAACAUAUUCCGUGGUGUAUCUGUACAGCAGUUUCCUCAUCCCUGCAGCUGUGUUUGAACAGGUCAUUUACCAUGCUGUCCUCCAGGUUCAACAGUAUGGCUCCAAAUGAUGAAAUUUCAUUCUGAUUUUCUGGCUGAAGACUAUUCUCUUUGUGUAUGUCCACCACAGUUACUUUAUCCCUUCAUCUGUGGAUGGGCAGUCUCGCUGUAUUGCCCAGGCUGGAGUGCAGUGGCAUGAUCUCAGCUCACUGCAAGCUCUGCUUCCUGGGUUCACGCCAUUCUCCUGCCUCAGCCUCCUGAGUAGCUGGGAUUACAGGCACCCGCCACCACGCCCAGGAAAGAAAAAAGAAGAAAACAAACCUCCAUACGAGAAUGGGUCUAAAGGAACUUCCCAAACCUCCAUGAUUUUGCAGGAAACAAGAUAAAGGUGGUUUCCACAAGAAAAAUGGCACAAUGUUUCUCAGAAGACAAUUACAUAAGAAUCAGCAUACUUCAAAUUCACAGCAAAUAAUCAGACAAUUGAUGAAAAUACUUACCCAAACACUAAUUGUAGACUAUGCCUUCUGAAUAUGUUUGUCAUAAACUUGGAGUAAGGAAUCCUCACAGGCACUGGACAAUUCAAAAAACGUAAAGUUGUUUGUUAGAAUACUGGUGCUUUUGGAUAGAAACCCUCAUCCAUAUCCUGGUAAGGCUUGAAGUUGCACAGGAGUUUUCAUUUGUCAAAACCCAGAAAACCAUAAGCUUUAGAUUUGUGAAUUUUAUAUUGUAUUAUAUGUGACCUUUCUUUUUAAAAAAUGAGCUGUAAGCAGUCUCCCAGACAGUAGCUCAGCCUCCAGAACUCUCUUUCUGCAUAGUUGAAGACCCCUCUUCACACAAGAUGGUAGCAACAAAUCAUAGGUGCAAUUGCACCAAAUUCACAGAAGAUCAAUUGAAAAUCCUCAUCAAUACCUUCACUCAAAAACCUUACCCAGGUUAUGCUACCAAACAAAAACUUGCUUUAGCAAUCAAUGCAGAAGAGUCCAGAAUCCAGAUUUGGUUUCAGAAUCAAAGAGCUAGGCAUGGAUUCCAGAAAACACCAGAACCUGACUUUAGAUUUAAGCCACAGCCAUGGACAAGAUUAACCUGGUGUGGAGUUUCAAAAUAGAGAAGCCAGAUGGUGUUGUACCACCUAUAGCACCUUUCAAUUACACACAGUCAUCCAUGCAUUUAUGAAAAACCCAUACCCUGGGAUUGAUUCCAGAGAACAACUUGCUGAAGAAAUUGGUGCUUCAGAGUCAAGAGUCCAAAUUUGGUUCCAAAAUCAAAGAUCUAGAUUUCAUCUCCAGAGAAAAAGAGAACCUGUUAUGUCCUUAGAAUGAGAAGACCAGAGAAGACCAGGGGCAAGGUUUCUGAGGGACUUCAAGGUACAGAAGAUACACAAAGUGGCACCAGCCUCACUAGCACUCUCAUUUCUCAAGAGCCAGAACAUGGUGAAUACAGUCAAGUUCAGUGUAUUUGAUAAUAUCAAUUUGGGCCCCAAAUCUCUCUCACAGUCUUCCUGGGAGUCUAUUCUUCUUCCAAAAGUGCAAGCUAAGCCUUCUGAAGAUGGUAAAGAACUUGGCCGGGUGUGGUGGCUCAUGCCUGUAAUCCCAGCACUUUAGGAGGCUGAGGCUGGAAGAUGGCUUGAGCCUAGGAGUUUGAAACCAGUCUGAGCAACAUAGUAAGACCCUGUCUCUAUUCUAAAAAACAAAAUAAGUAAAAAGGACUGUAGGAGGCCAAGACAGGUACAGGAGGCACCACACUACCCUGUUGACACAGCCUGGAUCCAGAGUUCAGCAGACCUUGAGACAAUGAAAACAAACUUAGUAAUAAUCAUUUUUCAAUCAUUGCAGUAAUUAUUGAUUUGGACAAAAAUCAAUUGAUGUCAAAACCUUAAAGUGACGUUUCUCUGCCUAUGGAGUGGUCAUUCUUUUAUUCCUUUAGUUUCAUAAUAAAUUUUCUUUUACUUAAAAAAACUUAUAGUUUGAUGAAGAGUGAGAUAUAUACCUCAUCUCAAAGAAUCUUCACACACGCACUUAUUAAUUACAAAAGGAAAAUCAGUAAUUUUGCAGUGGAGACAUAUGGCCAACUCCACCUUACCCAAGUGGCUGAAAGUCACUGCACCAGUAAUGGCACAAACCAAUGUGAGAUGAUUCCUGAUAUGAUACACUAAAAAGGGCACUGUCUCUUCUGCAUGUUGCAGACAAAAAGUGGGUAAGCUGACACUGAAACUAAUAAUUAGGCAAUGUCAAGCAAAUACAAAUUCAGGUUGACAGUCUGCAAAGUAACAUCCAUGUACUCUUCAACAAUGGAUCGACCCUAGCUACUCAGGAGGCUGAGGUGGAAUAAUUGUUUGAGGCCAGGAGUUCCAGAUCAGCCCGGGCAACAUCAUGCGACCCCAUCUCUAAAAACAUCUUUUUAAAAAUGAGCCAGGUGUGGUAGCAUGCACCCGUAGUCUCAGCUACUCAGGAGCCUGAGGCAGGAGGAAGGUUUCAACAUAGGAGAUCGAGGCUGCUGUGAGCUAUGAUCGUGCUACUGCACUCCAGCCUGGGUGACACAGCAAGUUCCUGUUUCCAAACAACAACAAGAAAACAAAACAAAACAAAACAAAAAAUAGAUAGAAUAGUGACAAUAAAAAUGGAGAAACAGUAGGCUGACUCAGGAAAUGCUUAGAAAGUACAGCCAUACCUCAAAGAUAUUGUAGAUUUGAUUCGAGACCACCACAAUAAAGCAGAUAUUGCUACAAAGUGAGUCACACAAAUUGUUUUGUUUCCUUGUGAAUAUGAAGUUAUAUUGGCUGGGUGUGAUGGCUCAUGCCUAUAAUCCCAGUACUUUAGGAGACGGAGGCGGGAGGGUCACUUGAGCCCAGGAAUUGUGAGAUCAACCUGGGCAUAUAGGGAGAUCCUGUCUCUAUUUAAAAAAAGAAGCUAUGUUUACACUACACUAUAGUCUAUUUAAAGUGUGAAAUGGCGUUAUGUCCUUAAUUUUAAAACUCUUGAUGCUGGCUGGGUUCGGUGGCUCAUACCUGUAAUCCCAUCACUUUGGGAGGCCAAGACAGGUUGAUUACUUGAAUUCAGGAGUUCAAGACCAGCCUGGACAACAUGGCAAAACACGUCUUUAAAAAAAGAAAAGAAAAAAGAAAAACAGAAAGAAAAAGAAGAAAAACUACUUGCUGCCCUUACUUGAAGCUCAAUUAUUUAAAACAAAGAAAAAAUAUAAAAAUCUUUUAUUGCUGAAAAUGCUAAUGAUCACCUGAGCCUUCAGGGAGUCUUAGUCUUUUUGCUGGUGAAGGGUCUUGCCUUGAUGUUGUUGGCUGCUGCCUGAUAAGGGCGAUGGUUGCUGAAUAUUGAAGUGGUUGUAACAAUUUCUUAAAAGAAAACAAUGAAAUUUGCCACAUUAACUGACUCUUCCUUCCACGAAAGAUUUCAGUGUACCAUGCGAUACUGUUUGAUAAGCAUUUUACCCAUAGUAGAACUUCUUUCAAAAUUGGAGUCAGUCCUCUCACACCCUGCCACUGUUUUACUAUGUUUAUCAAUAUUCUAAAUCCUUUGUUGUAGGCUAAACAAUAUUCACAGCAUUUUCACCAGGAGUAAAUUUCAUCUCACAAAACCACUUUCCAGGCUCUUUCUGGACUGUAGAGUUCUUUCCAGGCUACCUUGUGGCAGUUUAAGAGUCUGGCAUCAUUUUCCGCUGGGACCUAAGGAUCGAGGAGGUGCUUGUGACUAGACUGCCAAUGGACCCAUCACAAAGUUUAACCCAACCUUGAUCCCCGAGUCUUCACAAAUGCUCACUGAAGAAAAUUCCUGGAACAAUUCAGGGUCCUUUCAUAACCUCUACUCUGAGGUGUUAAUAAAAAACCUUAGUAACUUAAAAAAAAUGAGCUGUACACAAAUACUGAACAAUAAUGCUACAUAUGUUAAGUAUGUAAGAAAAAUAUAUACUUUGACAUAAAUAAGAAACGGUGAGUUGAUAAUUGGAUAGAAUGGUGGAUAGAGUGAUAGAUAUGUAGUAAAGCAAAUAUAACAAAAUGAUAAUUGUACAAUCUAAGUGGUUGGACUAUAAAUAUGCACUUCCCACAACAUUUUUAUAUGUUUAAACAGUUUUAUAAUACCAUAUUAGGGAAACUGUUUGUCUCAAGGAAAUAGAGAUUGUGAUAUGUUCUAGUACAAUGAAGUGUAAUCAUGUAAAAUAAAAGCUUUUACUUCUGGCAAUUAAAGUUAAUCAUGUUAGAACACUGUCUAGGAAUGGUUGG